GGGCAUCCUAAUGAAUUAGCAUGAAGGCAUGCAUUUUCAAAAAUCAUUCAACAAACUACUCAAAAUGAUGCAAAGUUAAAGGUUUAGAAUUCAAACCACUGCAUCCUUCUCAAAAGCUUCAACUCAAAAGAUCCAUCACAACUAACAUAAAUAACAAUGUACCAAAUGUUCAGGAUGUCAAGUGGAAAAAAGAUCAACAACAGGC
rnacentral:misc_RNA from 1 species